rnacentral:rRNA from 1 species
CCUACGGGAGGCAGCAGUAGGGAAUCUUUCACAAUGGGCGAAAGCCUGAUGGAGCAACGCCGCGUGCAGGAUGAAGGCCUUCGGGUUGUAAACUGCUUUUAUAAGCGAGAAAUAUGAUGGUAACUUAUGAAUAAGGAUCGGCUAACUACGUGCCAGCAGCCGCGGUCAUACGUAGGAUCCGAGCAUUAUCCGGAGUGACUGGGUGUAAAGAGUUGCGUAGGUGGCAUAAUAAGUAGCUAGUGAAAUCUGGUGGCUCAACCAUUCAGACUAUUAGCUAAACUGUUAAGCUCGAGACCGUUAGGGGUAAGUGGAAUUUGUAGUGUAGGAGUGAAAUGCGUAGAUAUUAGAAGGAACACCGAUAGCGUAGGCAGGUUACUGGGACGGUUCUGACGCUAAGGCACGAAAGCGUAGGGAGCAAACGGGAUUAGAUACCCCAGUAGUC